rnacentral:rRNA from 1 species
CUAGAGAUAGAAAGUUACUUCGGUACAUCGGUGACAGGUGGUGCAUGGGUUGUCGUCAGCUCGUGUCGUGAGAUGUUCGGGUUAAGUCCCGCAACGAGCGCAACCCUUGUCAUUAGUUGCUACAUUCAGUUGGGCACUCUAAUGAGACUGCCGGUGACAAGCCGGAGGAAGGUGGGGAUGACGUCAAGUCCUCAUGGCCCUUAUAGGUGGGGCUACACACGUCAUACAAUGGCUGGUACAAAGGGUUGCCAACCCGCGAGGGGGAGCCAAUCCCAUAAAGCCAGUCGUAGUCCGGAUCGUAGUCUGCAACUCGACUACGUGAAGUCGGAAUCGCUAGUAAUCGUGGAUCAGAAUGUCACGGUGAAUACGUUCCCGGGUCUU